AUUGAACGCUGGCGGCAGGCCUAACACAUGCAAGUCGAACGGUAACAGGAAGAAGCUUGCUUCUUUGCUGACGAGUGGCGGACGGGUGAGUAAUGUCUGGGAAACUGCCUGAUGGAGGGGGAUAACUACUGGAAACGGUAGCUAAUACCGCAUAACGUCGCAAGACCAAAGAGGGGGACCUUCGGGCCUCUUGCCAUCGGAUGUGCCCAGAUGGGAUUAGCUAGUAGGUGGGGUAACGGCUCACCUAGGCGACGAUCCCUAGCUGGUCUGAGAGGAUGACCAGCCACACUGGAACUGAGACACGGUCCAGACUCCUACGGGAGGCAGCAGUGGGGAAUAUUGCACAAUGGGCGCAAGCCUGAUGCAGCCAUGCCGCGUGUAUGAAGAAGGCCUGCGGGUUGUAAAGUACUUUCAGCGGGGAGGAAGGGAGUAAAGUUAAUACCUGUACUCAUUGACGUUACCCGCAGAAGAAGCACCGGCUAACUCCGU
rnacentral:rRNA from 1 species